GACGAACGCUGGCGGCGUGCUUAACACAUGCAAGUCGAACGAACAGGCCAUGCUUUUGUGGGGUGCUCGAGUGGCGAACGGGUGAGUAAAACGCGUGUAACCUGCACUUGACUUUGGGAUAAAUUCAGGAAAAUGGGGAUAAUACCGGAUAGGAGCUCCCGAAGCACGGGGGGGGAUGGAGAGUGUCGGCGGUUGGGGAUGGUAUAGAGGCUUAUCAGCUUGAUGGUGGGGUAGUGGCUGACAAAGGCUUCGACGGGUAGGCGACCUGAGAGGUGGACCGGCCACAAUGGUACUGCGGGACGCACCAGUCGCCAACGUGAGGCAGUAGGGGGGAAUCUUGCACAAUGAGCGCAAGCCUGUUGCAGCAACGCCCGGUUCGUGAUGACGUCCUACUGGUUGUAAACCGCUGUCGCCUUUGACGAAGCGGUAGUGACGGUAAUUGGUAAAGAAGCACCGGCUAACUACGUG
rnacentral:rRNA from 1 species